AGUAUUAAAAACAAAAAUGGAAAGAAAGAAAGAAAAAGAUUGACGUGGAAGGAAGGAUACAGAAGGAACAGAAUGGGAGGAAAUGUAGAUCAGAGAGAAUAUAAUUAACGAAAGUAUAUAAGAGAGAGAAGGAAUAACUUCUACUUUUUCAAAACAUAUAUAAUACUAACGUCAAAAGAUCAUGUGAGACACUGAUGUUUGGGGUGGUUGUGUUUUAGCGUGUGCAUGAUACCAACUCCUUUUAAUUUGAUAUAAAACCCAGAAUAUAGCUGAGGUUUCUCAGAGUUUCAUUGUCCAGUUGUUUGAUCUCUUUGUGCUUCAGAGGAGUAAAAGGUUUAGUACUCUUUGUGUGUUAAGCAGUGAUGAACGACCCUAAGUACCCAUAUGCUUACCCUGCCCAAGGUUAUUAUCAAGGACCCCCAGUGAUGGCACCUCCACAAUAUGCUGCUGCACCACCCAGGAGAUCAGAACCAGGUUUCCUUGAGGGAUGUUUAGCGGCUCUCUGUUGCUGCUUCGUAAUUGACGAGUGUUGCUGCGACCCAUCCAUCUUAUUUCUCUGCUGAUCAUCAUCGGCCUGUAAUUACAUGCACGUACGAAUAUUUCCCGCUUAUAAAUAGUAUCAUGCUCGAAGUUGUUCUUGGCUGGUGAUCAUCAGUUAAAUUCACGCGUGCGUACAUGUAGACUUUGUUUUAAAUUUGCAGUUUAUGUGUCUAUCGAUCUUUGUGUUGUAGUUUCUGAGAGGCUAUAUAUAAAUUCAUCAAUUUCUCUUUAUAA